rnacentral:sRNA from 1 species
AUCCAGAAGCUCACAUCAGCAACUGGAGCCCAGCCUGGCUUCUCGGUGUCUGUCCUUCAGCUUCCCCUUGAAUUAGUGCACACCACAUCCUUACUCACCUCCACCUCUUCUCCAAGGGGAGGGUUGGCCCCCAGGAUACUCAGGGCUUACCCGGCAGCUACCACUGCCUCAUUUGUCACCUCUGCUCUGUUAACAUCCCUUUGUGUGUUCCCAGAAUGAAAAGCCCCCUCGGCCUCAGGCUUCCCAACCUUGUUCCUAUCCCCAUAUUAUCCGAUUAUUGUCACAAGAGGAAGGGGUCUUUGCCCAAGAUCUGGAACCUGCACCCGUUGAAGAUGGUAUUGUCUACCCGGAACAGAGUGACAGCCCCACCAUGGACACCAGUGAGUUCCAGGUGCAGGCUCCAGCCCGGGGAACUCUGGGAAGAGUGUACCCAGGCAGCAGGAGCUCAGAAAAGCACAGCCCUGACAGUGCCUGCUCUGUGGAUUACAGCAGCAGCUGCCUUUCCAGCCCGGAGCAUCCCACUGAAGACUCUGAGAGCACGGAGCCCCUCAGUGUGGAUGGCAUCUCCUCAGACCUUGAAGAGCCAGCUGAGGGCGAUGAAGAAG